GAUCAUGGCUCAGAUUUAACGCUGGCGGCAGGCCUAACACAUGCAAGUCGAACGGUAACAGGAAGAAGCUUGCUUCUUUGCUGACGAGUGGCGGACGGGUGAGUAAUGUCUGGGAAACUGCCUGAUGGAGGGGGAUAACUACUGGAAACGGUAGCUAAUACCGCAUAACGUCGCAAGACCAAAGAGGGGGACCUUCGGGCCGUCUUGCCAUCGGAUGUGCCCACGAUGUGAUUAGCUAGUAGGU
rnacentral:rRNA from 1 species